CGCCAUCCUAGAUCGACCCCGACGCCUCGAACCUCUGCCCUUUCCCCCAUGUCCGUGCCAUCUGCUGUUGCCUGGCGCGGAUGUCCCGGCCUCUCCGGCGGUCCGUCCAGAUUUCGAGCCCGCACUAUUCCGGUCGGUCUAAGGAUCAGCCACUGCAAACCUCUGCAUCCCCAUUGCCCGUUGCCGUUGGAAUGCCCCUCCCUCUCUCCCAGUUCCCUGCUGCAUGUAGUGCUUCAGAGCAUUCCUCUCUUUCUCCCUUCAGAGCAAGAGCCAUUGAGAUUAUUUUAAUCCUUAGGUUUAGAUGGAUAAUAUUUUUUCUGAUCCCAUUGCAAAUCAGUUUGCAAUCAAGCAUUUUACUAGUAUAUUGUGAUGGAAUGUGUGGUAGUACUCCCAUCUGUCCAUUUGUCUCCAGAGCUUUCAAUUCAAUAUUUGAAUACAGGCAUGUACUGAUGUAAUUCGGUUGCUGUUGUUUUGGGCCGUGAGUUGCAUGUUAUAUCAUAGCAUAUCAUUACUAGUAUGACUGUA